rnacentral:rRNA from 1 species
CCCGGAAGAUGACUAGCUACUGAAUCAUAGAAUUUCUUUAAAUUCAUGAUGUCGUAAGGGAAAAUAAUGAUAUUACCUUACUAUGAGUGUCGUCCAAAGCUGGUGCCAGAAGACUCGGUAAGACCAGAGACGCAAACGUUAAUCAUCUUAAACAGGCGUAAAGGGUUUGUAGGCAGCUUUCAUAAUAUUAUUUCUUACAAAAAUAAAGAAGUGGUCUGAUUGAAAGCUAGAAUCAAAAAGAGGUUAUAGUGUAUAACGCCUAGAGGAGGGCUGAUAUCCUUAGAUCCUAGGCAGAAUACUUAGGGCGAAGGCCACUCUCCACUAAUGAUUGACGCUGAGAAACGAAGGUAAGGGUAGGAAAUAGGAUUAGAUACCCCGGUACUCCUUUCUGUAAACGAUGAAUGGUAGUCAUUAGUAAAAUUAACUAGAGACGAAGUUAACACAAUAACCAUUCCGCCUUGUGAGUACUACUGCAAAGUAGAAAACAAAAAAAUUAGUCGGUCUCGAAGCAAACGGAGUGAAGCAUGUUAUUUAAUUCGA